UUUUUUUUCUGUUUUU
rnacentral:sRNA from 1 species